GUCUUUUUGUUGAGAAUGAAAAGUCUGGCCUGCCCGGUGUAGUAUUAACGGCCGCGGUAAUUUGACCGUGCAAAGGUAGCAUAAUCAUUAGCUUUUUAAUUGGAAGCUGGAAUGAAGGGUUUGACGGCUUUCUGCUGUCUUCAUUUUUUAUUUUGAAUUUUAGGACAUCGUGAAGACGCGAUGAUUUGGUAAUAAGACGAGAAGACCCUAUAAAGCUUUAAUGCGGGUUUAUCUUUAUUGAUAUUGGGUGUUUUGUUGGGGCGACAGGUAUGUUAUUGAAACGUACUUUAUUUUUGGAUUUUACUUAAAGACUUUAAUUAGAACCAUUAAUAGUGAAUUAGGAUAAGCUACUUUAGGGAUAACAGCGUAAUUGUAUUGGAGAGUUCAUAUUGAUGAUAUUGAUUGCGACCUCGAUGUUGAAUUAGGAUUUCCUUGGGCUGCAGCGAGUCUGUUUGGAUAGUCUGUUCGACUAUUAAAUUCCUACA
rnacentral:rRNA from 1 species